CCGAAUUCUUAAGGCAUUACCAUGGGAAUUUUCCCUUUCUUGGGAUUGUAACAGAGCUCUAGGACUAGUUGUUUUUGUGAUGUGCUUCUUGACUGGCUGGAGCGGCCCUCAUUCAGGAACUCCAUCCAAGCAUCUCCUGCAGAGAAUGAAACCAUCAGCUGUCCUCGAAGCGGUGCUCCAUACCGCGGUGACGCACAACGGUUCAAGUAACUGUGAUUUUAAGAACAUCUCCAGUCCAUGUCAUGAAGGAAAGGCUUUGGGAAUGGGGAGAUUGUGCAGAACUGGUCUGUGGUGUACCUGUGGCACACAGAGCAGCCGGAGCUGUCCCUCAAGCAGGGGAGAGAGCAGAGCUGAUGCGUUAAGUGUGAGGCAACAGCAACACUCAAGACAACCUGCAGCUUUGUCAGGAAGAGGGAGUGUGUCUCAGGGACUCGCUGCCCGUGCACCGAGCACUUUAUCACAGGGUUUAUAAAAUGAUGGAGAGGCAGGAGCAGAAGAGCCCCUUGUGCUAUGACAGCUUAUGGGAGAGCAGUACAGGAGGAAAAACUCUAUUUGGUGGAGAAGCUGCCCUGCGCUGGCAGAUUGCUCCUGCAGCCACAGACUGCAAUGUUGGCUCCCUGUUGUACAGCAGUGCUUUCUGCACGGUUUUGCAUUCUGUGCCCGGUCUGUGUUGUCUGAAAUAAAACAAAGUCAGGAUUUAUGGCUGUGGUGCA
rnacentral:lncRNA from 1 species